rnacentral:rRNA from 1 species
CCUACGGGAGGCAGCAGUGAGGAAUAUUGGUCAAUGGACGAGAGUCUGAACCAGCCAAGUAGCGUGAAGGAUGACUGCCCUAUGGGUUGUAAACUUCUUUUAUAAAGGAAUAAAACGAGGCACGUGUGCCUUUUUGCAUGUACUUUAUGAAUAAGGAUCGGCUAACUCCGUGCCAGCAGCCGCGGUAAUACGGAGGAUCCGAGCGUUAUCCGGAUUUAUUGGGUUUAAAGGGAGCGUAGAUGGGUUGUUAAGUCAGUUGUGAAAGUUUGGGGCUCAACCGUAAAAUUGCAAUUGAUACUGGGAGUCUUGAGUACAGUUGAGGUAGGCGGAAUUCGUGGUGUAGCGGUGAAAUGCUUAGAUAUCACGAAGAACCCCGAGUGCGAAGGCAGCUUACUAAACUGUGACUGACAUUGAUGCUCGAAAGUGUGGGUAUCAAACAGGAUUAGAUACCCCUGUAGUC